CCGUCAGGCAUCGCGAGCGCGCUGGACGGCGGGAAGGGCCGCAUCAAGGUGCUCUAUUCAGCCUCCUCCUCUGGUUUCGCAAACUGCAGAACACCAGCGUGCCUACAAAUUGAAAUCGGUGCCUCACAAGCGGCACAAUCAGUAGGAUGAAAUAGACUGCACGGAUGCUUUAUUUUUGCUGCAUCAAUCAUAGCGCCACAUGUGUGUUCUCUUCAUUUUAGGAGUAGGAAGCGAUGCCCCUUGCUUGUUUAGAAGCAUCUGGUGUCUGUCACCAACUUAAUCUAGUUUUAUUAGUAUGUAGUUUGAACUAGCCUGUGUCAAGUUUUAUUAGUAUGUACUGGAGUAGUAGUUUGAACCAUCUUCAGUGGAGAUGGCACCUACAUACGUAUAAACUAGAAACCAGGAAUGACCUAUUCCAAAAAAUACCGAAAAAUGGGCUUGUGUUUCAGUCUUUAUGCCCAACUCCAGCCUGUGUUUCAGUAAUGCACAACACUAUUUGCUAUGACCAAGCUGCAAAGCAUCUGCAUUACAAAACCGCGAUUUAAGAUUAAGGCAAAUGGAAUGCACUAGAUAAACACAGAUCGAAUAGGUUUUCUACACUUAGGCACAUGUCUACACUCAGGCACAUGUCUGCUAGCUGCAUGCAUGUACAUGCAUCUUCUGAAAUAGAGUGAUUGGUUUGAAUUCAAGUGCAGAAUAUAUGCAAAUGGCUGCUAGCUGUACAUAUUAAUUGACUCUGUCCAGUGUCGAUUUCUUCAGUGUACUACUGCUAGUGUCGACUGAAAAUGGAUUCAUUCCUUCUUACGCACUGCACUGUACUGUAGUAUAUGUCAUUUUCGAAUUAAUACUCCAAAAUUUAUUAGUAUUGGAGGAUUGAUUGUUUCCAAAUCAAUACUCCUAGGCAUCAUUCAUGGCUGUCUAGUAGUCGACAUACUUCUGGUUCCAUUUAGUGUAUGCAGGUAGCAGCAGCUUAAGUGUAAUGGAGUUGUUUUGUUACUCUAUGCCUACUUCGUUAGAGUUAGCAUCAUCUCCUUGUCAUUUAUAGCAUAAACGCCUUCACUAUUCUUGCUCUGAACCUCUGAUCCUGAUACUGAUUGUAUUUGUCUUGAUGGAAUUACAAGCAACAUGGUGACUCUAGUGCAGGCAGCGUUGGCCAUCCUCUUCGAGGCUGUGUUUAGGACGAGCUGCAGCAGGACAACCUGGAGCGGAAGAACUUCGAGGGCAAUAUCAAGGAGAACCAGGAGACGAUCACCGGUUACCUCAUCCUCGUCGGCAUGCUUGGCUCCUUUGGCAGACCCCUCUUUGGCUCCGACCAACUUACUUUUGUCGCUGGCUAGCAGCAUUUCCAGGUGUUGUGUUCUAGAAGAUGGAAGAGGAAGAGGAACAUGUGAUACUAUUUUGUAGGGCUUUAUGGCCUGUGAUGUAAACAUAUUUAGUGAUGAAUUAUGAAAUUAUUUGCAAAAUUUAUUGAAAAGGAGAAUCAUUAGU